UCUCUGGAGGACUAGCGGUUAGGUCUCAGUGCUCUCACUGCUGCGGCCUGGGUUCAAUUCUUGGCCAGAGAA
rnacentral:tRNA from 1 species